GGAACUGGUAAAGGAAACCUAGAGCCAAGCGGUAAAACAAGACCUUCCUGCUCCUCCUCCCUCACCCGGCGGCGGCUCCCUACCCCUGCCUGUGCACCACCUCUUCCUCCUUCUGACAGCGGCAGUGGUGAGCAUGAGAGUAGCGGAAGCGGCUGGACACCAUAAGCCGCCCGAGGUGGUCUACGGCGAGGAACGACCGCGCCCGACGCCGUCCUCCAACCCGUACUUCCCAACCCGGUGCAUGCCCAAGGAUUCCGGCGCACCUCGAAGGAAGGACCAAGGCCUGGGACGACUUGUCCUCUUCUUCCUCUAACAUCUCCCUGCCAGCUGCUGCUUAUUAGUAGGGAGGGAGGGAGGGAGGGAGCGGAAAAGAUAGAUGGCGGCGGCGGCUGGACCUGGCUGAGUUGUUUGGGGAGUUGCGCACACGUCGAGCGAUGGCGAGCGCAUCCGACGCCGAUACACCGAGAGUCCUCAUCUCCCUAUCUGUGUCCCUCAGUUUUCUAUUGGCCAAAACAAAAUAUGCAAUCUAUUGUUGAAAGACCAACUUGUCCGCAAAAUACCUUGCAAACUGCGGCACGUUGAGCUAGGAGGUCUGUGCGAGUUAGAGGUUAUAUGAGACAAGGGCUUGGUCCUAUUAAAUGGAAAGGCCAUAAUUAUUAGUCCAAGUGAUAUUGAAGUUACGUUUGAGAAUUUUCCCUACUACCUUAGCGAGAAUACGAAGGAUGUGCUCUUAUCAUGUUCAUUCCUACAUUUGGAAAAUAAGGGAUUCAUUUAGCAGUUCUCGGAAGUUUCUUCAAUAAACCAGUGAAUUUAUCAUCUGGUCCAUCAAGUAAAUUAUUUUUUGUCAUUGCAUAUUGUCUCCGUUGAAUGAAAUUUAUGUCCUUGAGCCAUGUCAGAUUACAUGCUUUUUGUGAACACCAUUACUUAUAAGUAUCCAUCUCAUUAUGUAUCAGGUUCUGAGAUUUAUUAGGAAACAUUGAUGAAGGCACUUGCCAAACAUUUUGGUGCUAUACUACUUGUUGUUGAUUUGUUGCUAUUGCCGGACAUACUGAGAACUUCAUGAAUACCUUAAAUAAUGAUAUUUCUGUGUUGAUUUUGUUUGAAACAAAAUUGUAUGUGGCUGUCCAUGCACACACGGUAUUCAAUUUUUUAUAUAGUGUAGAAGUGGUGUGGAAGUUAAAGCAUCUGUGACUGCAUGUGGAUAUAUUUUGUCAACCCAUGUAACAUUGCCUUUAAACAUGAUUUAGGAUUUUCAUUAUGUGCAACUCUGCCCAGAUUGAGUACCAAGUUGUUUGUUUCGUGCCUAGGUGAGGUCAUUAUGGCGGUACUUGAUGCUCUAAUGUUCAUCUGUGUUAUGGAGUUGGUUCUUUUGAAGUUAAAAGUAGUUGUAUGUUUGUACGAUGCUCUUCUCAGGUUUUAAGCCUAGGUGAAGGCAUAACAUGUGGUAAUGUAUGUUCUUUUCGAUCUGCCUGCGGCUGGUUUUUUACCUCUUCUAGGUUGUUUUGCGUAUUGUGGUUUCCCUUCAUUCCACAUGGUCUAUGAGUUGCGAGGAUUUAGGGUCUAGGAACUGACAGGCUCUUUUUUCUGUUGCUGAUUAGAGCUUUGGUUAAGGUGUGUUCUUUUUUAGUGUAGUCGGCAUUCUGUUGUUGCUCCUGUGAUAAAUUGUUAGUUAGACUUGUGCUUAACUAGCGAUUCUUACAGAGAUGUACUUUCAGUGAGAAGAAAAGGCCAUAUUUUUUGAUAGCAAGGAUGACGAUCUUGCAGCUUUCUGCACAUAGUUUCAUUCUUAUCUUAUAUACUUUAUUUGUAGCAUAUAAAAUAGGAAUAUAGCUGUUCUAUGUUAGAGUAUGAAUUAGAAUCCAAAUCAGCAAUUGUAAAAAUGAACAAUAACUUCUAUUUCGUCAUAUAUGCAAUGUCCCCAAUUUUAUUGUUUUUCCUUUUUGGUUCUAUAGGAUUGCAACCGGAGGAGCCGGAGAACACGACCCCUGUCCUAUGUGCGGCCAUAUCCCCCAUGGCUUCUACAAGGACCAUAUCCCCCAUGGUUUUUAGGGGACUCUUUUGAAAGGCAUGUGUGUACAGAACACAUGUUUCAUCGUCUUCUCUUUUUUUCAUGAGUUGUUGAACAGAUCUUAUGAAGCUUGAUUGAUAGUGUUUCAACUCAGAUGAAGUGUUCUGGAUGAUCAGUUUUGCAGAUCCUGGAGAUCAUUAUACCUUCUGUACAAUGCA